GUAGUAUAGAGGACUACCAUGGUGGUAACGGGUAACGGAGAAUCAGGGUUUGAUUCCGGAGAAGGAGCCUGAGAAACGGCUACUACUUCCAAGGAAGGCAGCAGGCGCGCAAAUUACCCAAUCCCGACACGGGGAGGUAGUGACAAAAAAUAACAAUAUCGAUGUUUUUACAACUUUGAUAAUUGGAAUGAGUACAAUCUAAAACCUUUAACGAGUAUCAAUUGGAGGGCAAGUCUGGUGCCAGCAGCCGCGGUAAUUCCAGCUCCAAUAGCAUAUAUUAAAGUUGUUGCAGUUAAAAAGCUCGUAGUUGGAUUUUGAAAUGUUAUAAAACAGCCCGCUUUUAUAAGUGUGUUUUUGUUGUUUUAUAUCUUUCUCCUUACUAGACUUUCACUAUUGUUCUUCAUUGAUCGAUAGUUUCAUCUCUUUUUUGAGGUGAGUGAUGGUUAGACCUCUUGGGUUUAGGAUUGUGGAUGAUUGCUUCGGCUGUUGUUCUGCUUAGAUUCAAAAACUAAUCAUUAGAAAUCUAGUUCUUUUACUUUGAGUAAAUUAGAGUGUUCAAGGCAAGCAAAUUAUUAUUGUUGCAAUGAAUACUAUUAGCAUGGGAUAAUGGAACAGGACACGUAUUCUAGUUUUCUGUUGGUUUCUAGAAUUUUUUGGCUCUUUCUGAGAGUCAGUAGUGUAAUGAUUAAAAGGGACAGUUGGGGGCAUUCGUAUUUCAUUGUCAGAGGUGAAAUUCUUGGAUUUAUGAAAGACGAACUUCUGCGAAAGCAUUUGUCAAAGAUGUUUUCAUUAAUCAAGAACGAAAGUUAGGGGAUCGAAGACGAUCAGAUACCGUCGUAGUCUUAACCAUAAACUAUGCCGACCAGGGAUUGGAAGAUGUAUUAUUCCGUGUAACAGCGGAAAAACUCCUUCAGUACCUUACGAGAAAUCAUAAGUCUUUGGGUUCUGGGGGGAGUAUGGUCGCAAGGCUGAAACUUAAAGGAAUUGACGGAAGGGCACCACCAGGAGUGGAGCCUGCGGCUUAAUUUGACUCAACACGGGAAAACUUACCAGGUCCAGACACAGUUAGGAUUGACAGAUUGAGAGCUCUUUCUUGAUUCUGUGGGUGGUGGUGCAUGGCCGUUCUUAGUUGGUGGAGUGAUUUGUCUGGUUAAUUCCGAUAACGAACGAGACCUCAGCCUACUAAUUAGUUAUGCAAAUGAUUACAUUCUUUAUGAAGGGGGUUUCUGUUAUAGCUUUGGGUUUGACUUGGAGAUAUAAUAGAAAAACUCGUUUUCAUUUGUUAGAGAUUUGAUGUCUUCUGACUGACGAUUUCGAUAAUGACUUCUUAGAGGGACACUUGGUGUUUAACCAAGGGAAGUUUGAGGCAAUAACAGGUCUGU
rnacentral:rRNA from 1 species